rnacentral:lncRNA from 1 species
AAUGGGUCUGGCAUGUUAAAUUUUAUUUGAAAAUUAUGUUUUAUGCUCUGAAAUCCAUAAACUAUGACUGGGCAAUUUAUGAAAUAUGUUUAUAUAUAUAUAUAUAUAUAUAUAUGCAUUCUCAGCAUGGCUAUGAUCUAUUCUGUUCUGUUCUGGCCCCGCCAAUGGGGAUUAUACGUUGGACCUGUCGACUUAUAAUCUGCGAGGAACCAGUUUCGACACCACGCCACCGGUGAUUAGAAUAGUGGUUUCUGGACACCGGCUGCCAUUGGUGAGUAAAUAUAGUGGAUUUGGCACUUUUGUGCAACACUGGCUGCCAUCGGUGGAUAAAUAUAGUGGAUUUGGCAUUUUUGUGCAACACGGGCUGCUAUCGGUAGAUAAAAAUAGUGGAUUUGGCACCUUGUGCAACUUAUGCCACUAGGUUAUGUGGCCGUUGCCUAUUAUGUUAAGAUUAUAAUAUCAGAGUUUUUGUAAAAAUGAUACUAAGUUUUUGAAAGAAAAAAUGAUGUUAUUUGUGAUUUAUUCCCAAUCAUUAUUUUGUAUUUUGAUCUGAUAUGCUUUGACCCCACUGUGGGGUAAUUUGUUACUUACUGAGCUAGUGUAGCUCAUUAUUCUGUUUUCUAUUUUUUAGAUCCUGAAACUUGAUCGUACAGGAUUGGGGGAGUGUGUUAGAUUUUUCUAUGAUUCCUUCAGUUAUUGGCAUUUUAGUUAGAUUAGCUUGGAUAUUUGAAUUAUGUUGGCAUAUGCUAUUUUGAAAUUUUGUAAAAUU